GGAGAGGUGGUAGAGUUGGUUAAUUACGUCUGAUUUGAAAUUAGAUGAACUAAAAAGUUCCGUGGGUUCAAAUCCCACCCUCUCCA
rnacentral:tRNA from 1 species